rnacentral:rRNA from 1 species
UACGUAGGGAGCAAGCGUUGUCCGGAAUCAUUGGGCGUAAAGCGUGUGUAGGCGGCCUGUUAAGUCGGGUGUGAAAGCCCCGGGCUCAACCCGGGAAGUGCAUUCGAUACUGGCAGGCUUGAGUACGGGAGAGGGUCGCGGAAUUCCCGGUGUAGAGGUGAAAUUCGUAGAUAUCGGGAGGAACACCAGUGGCGAAGGCGGCGACCUGGACCGAUACUGACGCUGAGACACGAAAGCGUGGGGAGCAAACAGG